GACGAACGCUGGCGGCGUGCCUAAUACAUGCCAGUAGAACGCUGAAGGAGGAGCUUGCUCUUCUGGAUGAGUUGCGAACGGGUGAGUAACGCGUAGGUAACCUGCCUGGUAGCGGGGGAUAACUAUUGGAAACGAUAGCUAAUACCGCAUAAGAGUAGAUGUUGCAUGACAUUUGCUUAAAAGGUGCAAUUGCAUCACUACCAGAUGGACCUGCGUUGUAUUAGCUAGUUGGUGGGGUAACGGCUCACCAAGGCGACGAUACAUAGCCGACCUGAGAGGGUGAUCGGCCACACUGGGACUGAGACACGGCCCAGACUCCUACGGGAGGCAGCAGUAGGGAAUCUUCGGCAAUGGACGGAAGUCUGACCGAGCAACGCCGCGUGAGUGAAGAAGGUUUUCGGAUCGUAAAGCUCUGUUGUAAGAGAAGAACGAGUGUGAGAGUGGAAAGUUCACACUGUGAUGGUAUCUUACCAGAAAGGGACGGCUAACUACGUG
rnacentral:rRNA from 1 species